GGAGGAAAGCGGCAGUUGGUCAAGUCCCUCUCACACUCUUGUACAGCCACUUAACGCCUGUGUCUGGAAGAGUCUGGUGGAUUUCAGUUCUGAAGACCCAGCCGGGGAGAGAUUUCACGACUUGUUCACACUUUUGUUGCCAGCGUCUGAGUGAAGACUUGCACCCUGGAGUUGUAUCUCUAAGGAUAAAGUCUUCAGCAUCUUGAUCUUCCCUUAGUACCAAAGGACAGAUUCAAACAAGGAAAUAGGGAAUGCAAAAACAAAGGAGGAACAAUCAAGAAACUACAGUGCUGGACGAGCAAGGUCCUGGUUCCUCCUCAGGGAAUAUACAUAAUAAUUACCUUUGAGUUCUACCGGAACUAAGGCCCCACCCAAGUGAAGGUGCAGAUGGUGACGGCAGCCAUGAAAUAAAAGGACACUCACUCCUUGGAAGAAAAGUUCUGACCAGCUAAAUA